GUGCUCGCUUUGGCGGCACAUAUACAAAAACUGGAAUGAUACAUAGAAGAUUACCAUGGCCCCU
rnacentral:snRNA from 1 species